GCAAGUACCAUUGUUCUUUCGUCUUUCUCAUAUCUCUACUACUUGCUCUCAUACUUUACUCUGUUUUAUUUACGAUGAAUUAGUUUAUCAGCUACCCUUUCUCCUAAUUUCUUCUCCAAAGGAAAACAUGAAGAAAAAUAAGGAUGAAGUGAGAGAGAAGUUCAUCCAAGGAGUACUCCACCAGACUCCAUACAUGUGUCAUUGGAUGAAGAGUUUGGAAUCAUGGUUGAAAACCUUGGAAGGAAGGGAAAAUUUGUUAAUGGUGUAGGUGUUUUUCCUCGUAUGGAUACCUCUGGUUGCAUUCUUCUAUAACUUUAAGUUUCAAGUUAAAUGAUAUGAGAUAUCAGAUCAAGCUUUUGUUAGAUGGUUUCCUCAAAUUGCAACAUGAGAAUGAAUAACCGAGAGCUCUAUUGGGUUUACAUAAUGAUGAUGAAAGUAUGUUCACAAAACUCAAUGUGUUUUUUGCUGCAAGUCAAGGGAGGACCAACAACUAUACAGAAUCUGAUGGUGAUAUUUUCAGAGGGUGAAAAUACUUAUCCUAAGCUAGAAGAACAUGAUUUGGAAGAGUACUGAUGUUGAUAUUAUGUCUUUUACGGUUAGUUUCAAGUAUGCACAUGGUACACUUCUUUUGUUAGCACCUAAAUGUGCCUUGGGCUUCUCUUUUGUUAAUACCAAAGCUGUCUAUAUAUAGGUGUUAGUGCCCUUCAUUAUUCUGGGUUAGACUUGU